rnacentral:rRNA from 1 species
CCUACGGGAGGCAGCAGUCGGGAAUAUUGCGCAAUGGAGGAAACUCUGACGCAGCGACGCCGCGUGCAGGAAGAAGGUGUUCGGAGUGUAAACUGCUUUAGACAGGGAAGAGAAUGACAGUACCUGUAGAAUAAGCUCUGGCUAACGACGUGCCAGCAGCCGCGGGAAAACGUAGGGAGCAAGCGUUAUCCGGAUUGAGUGGGUGUAAAGGGUGCGUAGACGGGAAGGCAAGUUAGUUGUGAAAUCCCUCGGCUUAACUGAGGAACUGCAACUCAAACUAUCUUUCUUGAGUGCUGGAGAGGACAGUGGAAUUCCUGGUGUAGCGGUGAAAUGCGUAGAUAUUAGGAGGAACACCAGUGGCGAAGGCGACUUUCUGGACAGUAACUGACGUUGAGGCACGAAAGUGUGGGGAGCAAACAGGAUUAGAUACCCCAGUAGUC